ACUAGACUUUUCUGCUUUCUCUUCUUUCUUCUUCGUCGAACAACAGAGAAACCCAACUCCAAAAUCAUAGUUCAAUACCUAGGGUUUCCAUUGAAAUUUUCUCUUGUUUCUUCGUCGUCCCUAAAUCGAAUAGAGAAAAACCCCAAACCCAAAAUGAAUGAUCUUUUUUUUUCUUUCUUCUUCGUCCCCUGAAUCGAACAACACAGAAACCCCAAAAUCAUUACUUAGUUCAAUCCAUAGAAGUUUCGAUUGAAAUAUUGGUCGAAAUAUGUCACAUCCAACCUAAAUUUAAUACUUAGAGUUUCAAUUGAAAUCUCGGUGACUCUGUUUGUGGAAAUUCCGGUGAUUUGAAGAUUUCAAUUCGUUCCAUUUUCUAAAAGUUUGCCAAACUAAUACAGUUACAAUUGGUAUUUGGGGUUGGCUGCUCAAUUGCUCUAUUCUCACCCGGGUUAGAAAGAAGCUUUUCGGCUGGAAGAUUGAGUCGCAAGAAGUUGAUACCUAUGCAGAACAGUGAACGGAUUGUUGUUUAUGUAUCCAAAUUGUUGCGCAACUGAAAUAUGACUGAAGCUGAAGAAGGUGUUGCAGAACCUGCAGGUUUUUUGUGUGUGCCACAAAACGGAAGUGAAGGUAUCUAUUAUGAUGAAAACAGUUGGUGUGAGAAUUCACGACGAAAAAUGUCUUCGCUACUAUAUAUAGAACCGCCACUUUGCAUACAAAUAUACUACAUGUUUUUUAAGUAGGUAGAUUGUUUACCCAAUUUUGUGAAGUCUCAACCGCGAGCACGUUAAUAUGUACCUCUGCAAAAAUUUAUUCUGAAUCCAUUCUCAAUCUUUAUAAACAGGAAGUAUAUACAAAUAUACUUAUUAUAUAAUCAACAAAGCAAGUUUUUUG